GGGGUUGUGGCUCAGUGGUAGAGUGCUUGCCUAGUAUGCAUGAGGCACUGGGUUCAAACUCCAGUACCACA
rnacentral:tRNA from 1 species